rnacentral:rRNA from 1 species
CCUACGGGAGGCAGCAGUAGGGAAUCUUCCGCAAUGGGCGAAAGCCUGACGGAGCAACGCCGCGUGAGUGAUGAAGGUCUUCGGAUCGUAAAACUCUGCUAUUAGAGAAGAACAAAUGUGUAAGUAACUAUGCACGUCUUGACGGUACCUAAUCAGAAAGCCACGGCUAACUACGUGCCAGCAGCCGCGGUAAU